CCCUACGGGGCGCAGCAGGCGCGAAAACUCUACAAUGCAGGCAACUGCGAUAGGGGAACAUCGAGUGAUCCUCAUAUUGGGGGUCUGUCCACCCGCCUAAAAAGCGGGUGUUAGCAAGGGCCGGGCAAGACCGGUGCCAGCCGCCGCGGUAAUACCGGCGGCUCGAGUGGUGGCCGAUAUUAUUGAGUCUAAAGGGUCCGUAGCCGGCUUUGCAAGUCUCUCGGGAAAUCCAGCGGCUUAACCGUUGGUCGUCCGGGGGGUACUACAUUGCUUGGGACUGGGAGAGGUAGGAGGUACUCAGGGGGUAGGAGUGAAAUCCUGUAAUCC
rnacentral:rRNA from 1 species